GAGCAACACCCCCACCCCCACCCUGUCACAUGAAUGUACAGUGACGUUAUUCAUAGAUCAACUUCAUUGAGCUCUGGCCAAUACGCUGCCAAUUAUUCUUUCAAAUAGCGUCUUCUCUGUGUUAUCAAAGCCUGAGUAAGAAAGCGGCAGAUCCUCUGGUUUGCCAGACAUACUUUUCUGGUUGCUCACAUCUCUAGUGUCACAACAGGAGCCAGUUGUCACCCCACAAAAGAAAAACUGGCAUGAUGUCCCUUUGUUCCGGUCAAGUUGUGCGUGAAAUCUUUUUGUCGUCCUUUCCAAAGGAAGGCAAAAGUUGCAGUUGAUUGUAAAAAGGACAAAUUUAACUCCCUGAAAGUGGAGCUGUUUUCAAGUUGCCCUGAGACACUAAGCACGGGUGUUGCUUUUAUUUAUUACCCUCUUAAAACUAUCAUUUAUUUGCCCUGAAAAUACUUUUUGAUUGAAGAUCCAAUAUUGUUUAGGCAUUAGUACAAAAACUAUUUACGUCCCCUUCCAAUGAAAAUCCGAGAGUUAAAAAAUCUUUGUGUAUAAUUUCAAUUGUCUAGCUACCAUGGAAAAAAAUUUCAGACGGAGUAUUAAAAAAAAAAAGACUUGGCUAGAUUUUAAACUUGAGAAAUAUGAUCUCCGAUUUCAAAAGGCAAUAUUUCUAUUUGGAAACUAACAAAACCAACCGAGGGGUUGAAAUAGGUAUGCGAAUCAUAUCGUUUUUAAAAAUCGUAUAUUUUUUCAGAUUCCUCGAGUAUCAUCUCCCAAAGAAAUAAAAGAACCAAGUGAAUCUGAGCUAAUCUUUUGGGGUAACACGAUCAAAAGUAACAGUACAUUCAGAUUAUUUUAGGAUCAUUUUAGUUUGGAAAAGUGCCUCGAUGUCACUAUUACGUAUGUUGUUUUGCUUGCAAAUGUGAAAGGGAGAGCGACUCUGGCGGACUCAAGGGUCGGAGGUGGCCGUUUCGCAGCCGCCGGGGCCGUGGUCGUUGGAGAAGCGGGACCUGUUCCCCGCGGCCCACGCGAACCAGCGCCCCGGCCGGGCUCAGUGGGCUCGGCGGCCUCGAGAGAGCACAAGCUCUGAGGGCGUCCCGCCGGCCCGGCUGGAAGAGGGACGCGGGCGGCGCUGCCGACUCGGAGGGCUGCGAGAAACCUGUUGGCCACGAGGAAUCGGUGUUGGCGUGGCGGCUGCGGCGUCGAGGCCGCGGGCGCGGGGUGGCGGCGCAGGCCGCUCCCUUUGCCCGCUCGGCGGAGCCCGGCGUACCCUAGGUCCGCUUCUCGGGGACGGGGCGGCGCGGCCCCGCAGCUCGGCAGGCGGAGGGAGCCGGCCAGGAUUGAUGUCUAAAUCAAUGCGGUUUCUAGGCGCUUCUCCCGACUCCUCUCCAUCUUCCUCAAAGGCAAAGCGCCUCCCGAGGAUGGAGUUCCACGACAUUCGCGAAGUCUGCGUGAGGAUGGUGUCUGUGGGCCCCACGGCCGCUGCCCCACGCCGGGCACCCGGACCACGCACCGGCCAGGAGGGCCCUGCUGACGAGGGAGUCCAGCCUCGGCGGGGCCCCCGCCUGUGCCCUCCUCCUUCCUUUUGCUCCCCACACCUGGGGGCUUGCUUCCCCCUACACUCGGAAUGGCGCCGGGUCCAGGCGGCUCUCGCAGCCUCGGCGCAGGGCGAGGCCUGUCCGCUCUCCGCGCUGCCCACUGGCUCCCCAAUUUGACAGGAUUUGAGAGGAGCGACCCCUCGUCUCCGACUCCAGGCAGGCCCGGCGGCCUCUGAUUUAAUUAUUCGCUGAUGAAUUAGACAGCUGCAAUUGUCGUGAAAAGUCAGCGGCCACUAUUGAUUCCAGGGCCGAGGGGAGGGGCGGGGAAGGGCGGGGAGGCAGCCCAGGCCCUCGGGUGUCCUUGGCCGCGCGACCUCUCCCGGCCCCGGCCGCCAAGCCCCAGGGCCUCUCUCCGUGCUAGGCCCGGCGGGCCAGAUGUGGCUAGUGUUCGAGGGGCCGCAGGCCUGGCUCCCAGCUCGGGUCUGUUCUACCCACGGCGGCGGAAGCGACGGGGGAACUGAAGACGAGGCGGGGGCGGGAGCGACGCCCGCUCCGGGCUUGCGGGGAAGAAGGCGGCCCCCGGGGCACUCCCAGGGCGUCCCCAGCCCGCCCCCGGCCUGGCGCCCGCGGCCUGGAGGCGGAAGGGCGGACGGCGGGCGCUUCCGGUCCUCGCUGAACCGGCGCCCG
rnacentral:lncRNA from 10 species